rnacentral:rRNA from 1 species
UACAGAGACUGCAAGCGUUAUUCGGAUUCACUGGGCGUAAAGGGUGCGCAGGCGGCCAAGUGUGUUAGGUGUGAAAGCCCGGGGCUUAACCCCGGAAUUGCACCUAAAACUACAUGGCUAGAGCAUUGGAGAGGGGAGCAGAAUUCACGGUGUAGCAGUGAAAUGCGUAGAUAUCGUGAGGAAUACCAGAGGCGAAGGCGGCUCCCUGGACAAUUGCUGACGCUCAGG